GAAAUGCGAUAAUUAAUGUGAAUUGCAGAAUUCAGUGAAUCAUCGAGUCUUUGAACGCACAUUGCGCCCCCUGGUAUUCCGGGGGGCAUGCCUGUCCGAGCGUCAUUGCUGCCCUCAAGCACGGCUUGUGUGUUGGGCUUCCGUCCCUGGCAACGGGGACGGGCCCAAAAGGCAGUGGCGGCACCAUGUCUGGUCCUCGAGCGUAUGGGGCUUUGUCACCCGCUCCCGUAGGUCCAGCUGGCAGCUAGCCUCGCUACCAAUCUUUUUAACCAGGUUGACCUCGGAUCAGGUAGGGAUACCCGCUGAACUUAAGC
rnacentral:misc_RNA from 1 species